AGUGAACGCUGGCGGUAGGCCUAACACAUGCAAGUCGAACGGCAGCACAGAGGAGCUUGCUCCUUGGGUGGCGAGUGGCGGACGGGUGAGGAAUACAUCGGAAUCUACUCUGUCGUGGGGGAUAACGUAGGGAAACUUACGCUAAUACCGCAUACGACCUACGGGUGAAAGCAGGGGAUCUUCGGACCUUGCGCGAUUGAAUGAGCCGAUGUCGGAUUAGCUAGUUGGCGGGGUAAAGGCCCACCAAGGCGACGAUCCGUAGCUGGUCUGAGAGGAUGAUCAGCCACACUGGAACUGAGACACGGUCCAGACUCCUACGGGAGGCAGCAGUGGGGAAUAUUGGACAAUGGGCGCAAGCCUGAUCCAGCCAUACCGCGUGGGUGAAGAAGGCCUUCGGGUUGUAAAGCCCUUUUGUUGGGAAAGAAAUCCAGCUGGUUAAUACCCGGUUGGGAUGACGGUACCCAAAGAAUAAGCACCGGCUAACUUCGUGCCAGCAGCCGCGGUAAAAC
rnacentral:rRNA from 1 species